CCCUUGCAGGUUUUGCAUAGACUCGUCUUUCACUGUCUGCCGUGCGCUGUUUUUCUCCUUGCUGAGAGUUUCCGUGUACGUGCGCGAAUAUGUGCGUCCGUGUUGUGGGUGUCGGGCACACAUGUGCGGAGUGCUCUCGGCUUCUCUCUCUUGUUCCCCCUUCUUUCUGUUCCUGGGCUAUGGAUAAUGGAACGAGUCGCGCGUUGUGCGUCCGUUUUUUUCUUCCUGCCUUUUCGUGUGUUUUUUUUUUAAUUUGCUCUUGGUCUUCUUCCUCGGCGUGCGUGGGAGGGGGCACUCUGGAAAGGAGCGGCAGUGUGGUGGUGGUGGUGGUGCCCAUCAACCCCCUCUUCUUCCUCGCCCCAUUCUGUGCCCAUCUUCUUUCCCCCUUUCCAUACACACACACAAAUGCACACGCACGAGCAUGCACUAAAAGAAGUGAGAGGCAUUUAAAUUUCUGUGCGUCCUUUCAGGCGUACGACUGGCGCAGUUUCUCGUGCAACGUGUUUUUCGUGCGUGUGGGCAAGACGAGACGAAGAAGAUGGACCCGCGUGCUCUUGCGGAGGGGGAAGACCGGUGGAAAGGAAACGGGGCAAACACAAGAUUAUGGGGAGGGGAAGACAGCACGAGUCGCGCUUGCACUGAUGGAGCCGAGCUUGCACGCAUCGCGACGGUGAACUUCGAAGACGGCGUCUUUGGUCGCUCACGUGAGAGCCCUUCCGUUUCUUUGCUUUGCUGUUUGCGUCUUUGGAUUUCAUCUGUUCGGUUCUCCGAGUCUGAUCGCGCGUCAGCACUGCACCCC
rnacentral:misc_RNA from 1 species